ensembl:snoRNA
CCAAUGUUCUUUAAAACUGAUGCAGUUCUUCAAGAGGUUAACACAGAACAUUAAAGGAUGCCUCAUGAAACUCAGAGAAGAGACUGGCUAGUUUCUCUUUCCAUCUUCUCUAUUGCCACAGCU